rnacentral:misc_RNA from 1 species
AACGCACAUUGCGCCCGCUAGUAUUCUGGCGGGCAUGCCUGUCUGAGCGUCAUUUCAACCCUCGCGCCCGGCUUUGCUGCCGGAUGCGGUGUUGGGGAUCGGCCUGCAGCCGCCUAGCGGAUCGGGCCGGCCCUGAAAUACAGUGGCGAUCGCGUCGUAACCUCCUCUGCGUAGUAACUCCUUACAGGGCCUCGCAGGCGGAGAGCGGUGCGGUCACGCCGUAAAACCCCCAAACUUUUUACAAGGUUGACCUCAGAUCAGGUAGGAAUACCCGCUGAACUUAA